rnacentral:lncRNA from 1 species
CGAUAUUCGGCUCGCUCGAGCUCGACUCGAAAUUAAAUGAGCCGAGCUUGAACAAAAUAAAAGGCUCGAAAUUCAUUUCAAGCCGAGCUUGAGUAUUACUCGGCUCGUUCGAAUUAGGCUCGAAAAGCUCGACAGCUCGAAUAUAUAUAUAUAUAGAGUUGAGCUGGAAUGCUAUCAGUAGCAAACGGGCUCCGUUGUCACCCAUUUGUUUUCGAUGAUGAAGCCCUCAAAUCGACGAUCGGCACCGUUGAGCAUGAUCUAUAUUACUUGAAGUAUCUAGAAAUUAAAUUUCAAAUAUUUUCGAUAUCAUUGACCUAAUGAUCAAAGGGUUUCAAAAUUUGUAAUUUUAAUGGUCGAUGUGAGGUGUUUUCUCGUUUAACGGUGUAAAACUAUCCAAAUCAAUUGAAUUUUGGUUAGAAAAUUCUUUAAACUAUUUAGAA